UGGGGAAUUUUGGACAAUGGGCGCAAGCCUGAUCCAGCCAUGCCGCGUGCGGGAAGUAGGCCUUCGGGUUGUAAACCGCUUUUGUCAGGGAAGAAAUCCUUUGAGCUAAUACCUCGGGGGGAUGACGGUACCUGAAGAAUAAGCACCGGCUAACUUCGUGCCAGCAGCCGCGGUAAUACGAAGGGUGCAAGCGUUACUCGGAAUUACUGGGCGUAAAGCGUGCGUAGGUGGUUUGUUAAGUCUGAUGUGAAAGCCCUGGGCUCAACCUGGGAACUGCCUUUGUGACUGCAUGGCUAGAGUGCGGCAGAGGGGGAUGGAAUUCCGCGUGUAGCAGUGAAAUGCGUAGAUAUGCGGAGGAACACCGAUGGCGAAGGCAAUCCCCUGGGCCUGCACUGACGCUCAUGCACGAAAGCGUGGGGAGCAAACA
rnacentral:rRNA from 1 species